GUGAACAGUGACUGUGAUGUGAAUUUUUUUGACGGUAGUGAUUGUGCUAUUUUGAAUAGUUACGAUAAAGAACUGAUCAGUAUAAUUAAAAAUGAUCUGGACAAUGAUCCCGAGAUGUUUGUGCUGAACAAUGUGCUGAUGUGCACGGUGUUUCACAAGAAUUACAAGCAGGAUGUCUACGAAUCUCUAAUCUCAAUCCAACGAUCCCAGUCCGAAUUCCUGGAACCAGAUGUCAUCAUGGAAACAGUAAACAACAACAUAACCUACCAACCCGUCCAUGGACCAAA